rnacentral:lncRNA from 1 species
AUGUAAACCUCUGGAAGCAGAAGACUUUUUUCCUCUGUGUUGGGGCUGCAAUGUGAGAUUUCUUCAUAUGGGGAAAAUAAAACAACCGGAAGAUCUCAGGCUCCUCCUGGCUGCAAAGACUCCAGUGGAAAUAUUGCUUGGGUUCAUAACCCUCCGAGGGCCCCAAAUCUUGUAGAAACCCAUGCAACUCUGAUGCACCCUUGCAGCAAUGCUAGUCAGGGGGUAAGGGAUGAGUCUGUGCAUAUCUUGGCUUUCUGCAAUGUGAAGGAUCAGGAUCUCCUUUCUCGUCUUCGAAUACUUGCUGGUUUCUAAGCAUGCUACUCCCAACUUACACCAGUUUUGCUGGGAAGAGCACUGGUGUUUCAUUCUGGAAGACAUCUUCAAAGGGGAAUGCACACUUCACAAACUUGAUUUUGAAGUCUUUCAGGAAGGCUUUGCAAACAAAAGCUCACAUUCCAGAGUAAGUAGAAAGUCCUCGGUUCCUGGUGGUGAAAGCUUCCUACCAGAAUUAUUCCCAGAGGCAGUAUAGACUUUGCAUUUUGCCUCAUCUAAAUGCAUUAGGAGGAGUAUUAAAUUUCACAUGUGCUGCAUGUUGAUGUAAUUCUCCUGACACGUCUGUUUGCACCAUUAUGAAAUAAGGGAUUUCCUUUCCCUUUCUUUCCGCAUUUGCCCUGCUCUCCAGAGAUCUCCAGGAUAUGAUCCAUUGGCAUACCAGGAUUACACUUUUUACACAGAGGACUUAAAAAAAGCUUCGUCAUUGGGCUAAGAGAGGUCUCGGGACAGCACCCUGAAUUAGCAGCGCUUGACUGAACUGUCAACCUUCCGUUGGAAGAGAUCCAUUAAUCUUCUGUGUCAUACCCCCACCCCGCUUCAGCUUGGCUCUGUACGCUUACCGGGAUGAGCACUGGGAUGUGGGAGGUUCUUGAGCAUCUUUUCAUGCAAAAACACCAUCCCUGUGCCUAAAGGAACUGGGGAACCUGGCACCUCUGCAGCCUGCCCAGGGUGACUCACCAGGGCUCAGCAUCAGGGCAGAGCUGCAGUACUGGUGACUUCGUUCUGUGUCACAGCUCAGUUCUGUGAUAGGGAUGAUGCAAAUACCUGCUUUGUGCAGAAUCUGGGGCCUUUUUUCCUUCCCAGUGUGAGUAUGUUUUCCUACUAGGCAAAUGUACAUUGCUAAAAGACUGGAAGUGAACUUGCUAGCCUAGGGGGAAAAGGGGAGAGGAAUUUCUUGAUCAGAUAACACUGACCUUCUUGCACAGGCUGAAAGCUAUGCUGCCUUACACCACGCGGGCAUCCACUCAAGGCUUAUCUGGUCAGAUCCCUUCUCCAGGGCUGACUGCUGCGUUCCUCAGCUCAGCAGGUGUGUUGCACACACAUUUGUACACUGCAGAAAUGAAUACAUACAUUGGAAGGUGAGGUAGUGGAGGACAUGCCUUGCUUUUGCCUUCACGUACAGCUGUUGGCAAAGGACCUGUUAUUCCUAAAUGCUGCAAAGAUUAAAAAAAAAAAAAU